AUACUAGCACGGGAUAUCCAGGUUACUAUAAUGGCUAUCAACAGCAACUUAACCAUUCGUACUCUCAGCAGCAGCCUAACCACGCGUACUCCCAGCAGCAGCCUAACCACGGGUACUCCCAGCAGCAGCCUAACCACGCAUACUCUCAGCAGCUACCUAACCAUGCACAGCAGCAGCCUAACCAUGCAUACUCUCAGCAGCAACCUAACCAUGCAUACUCUCAGCAGCAACCUAACCAUGCAUACACUCAGCCUCUAGGAGCAUAUCAAAACACAGGUGCUCCUUAUCAGCCUCUUUCUACAUUUCAGAAUACAGGGUCUUAUGCUGGGACUUCAAGUUAUUCAGCCACUUAUUA
rnacentral:lncRNA from 1 species